rnacentral:lncRNA from 1 species
AUGCAAACCAAACCUAUGACAUCGUUCAGCGGUUCAAAGAGCUACAGCACCACCUCAUCAUCCAUCUUGGACACAACUCCUUCAAGCAGAGUUGCCGACCUGUCUCAGCCAAAGGCUUUGCAGCUUUUAGCUGCUGAAUACUCAGAGAGAAAUGAACCAGACUUUUUAGCUGGACAACCUCAGAACUGGAAAUUACAGCAGGGCUCUGCUUCUUCCAGCAUGUCUUUAUUGGCCUGAAGUCAGCCCCUUUCUUCUGGAAAUGAAGAUUCUCCCAGCACCUCUGUGGACCAGCAUUAUUAGCAAGUAUGUACUCUGGACCGCAUUCUUGUCUGAAUAUAAAAUUCCUGAGAACUUUCCUGCAUCUUAGCAAAAAAUGAAGUGGAGAUAUUUAUCAAUAUUUAUUUAUCCAAUUAGCCACCCUCAACAGCCUGUGCCUGGAGCCUUGUCCGCUUUGAUAUGUGCAAAAAACGUUCAAACUUAUUCAUCUUUUGCUUGAACUCUGGCAAGGUUUACAAAGUAGACACAAGCUCGACAAUGAACCUUACUCUGCAGCAAGCUUUCUCCCCAGAACAUCCCCAGUCCCGCAGAAGUUCAGACCUGGGUCUAAGCUGUCCAUCCCUGACACAUGCACCCAUCUUACAGAAGGAUCCUUAGGCAUCCUGUGGGCUCUGCUCUGCCUUAAGCCUCACAUUAACAUCAUCGAGGAGAAAUACAAAUUCAAACUGACACAGACUUGCUUGUCUCUUCCUUUGUGUUUAAACACAGAUGGUUGCUUUUGUUGUGCCGCCGCAUUUCAACCGAUGCAAGCAGCAAAGUACUUCACUGGAAUAUAUAUCUCUCCUUCAAACAUUCAGGGUUUUUUUGUAGGUGAAGUAUCAUUCUCAAGAAUAUAUACAGUGUUUUCAUGCAUCUUGAUCUAAUCCAUUAGUCCUUAUAAUUUAUUGUUAACUGCUUGGAUGUAGGAGCCAUGACAGCUUUGAGUAAAGCAUUUAAGCAGGCAUCUGCUUUGUAUAAAUUAUAGGAACCUUGGUCACACAAGUUUUCAGAGAGAAACAAAGGUCUUUUACCAACAUCUGUAGCUUUUUGGGAUAGUGAAUUAUUUUUUUAUCGUAAGAAGCUUUGGGUCUUGGAAACCACAACAGAGCAAAUCUAUGAACUACCUGCAGACUUGUUAUUUACAUUUGUAUUUGGUAUUGUACUAAUGGCUCCAUUUGCUGCAGACUUGCAGUACUUGCAGACUUGCAGACUUGCAAGUACCUGCAGACUUGUUAUUUAUAUUUGUAUUUGGUAUUGUACUAAUGGCUCCAAGGCAGGAGGAACACGAUUGACGUGGGGGUUGGGAGCUGAAAAACACUUGGUUAGUCUCAAAUCAGCUCCUUGGAGGCUAAAGCCCUGAUUAACUAUAACUGGAGUGGAUUGUCUUAAUCUGACUGCUGUAGUAUUUUACGUCUAGCCAUUCAGGCUUAUUUCUGUAAAUACUUAGAUAAGCUUGAAUCAAUUACUUCAAUGUCUCCCUUUGUCUCCUACCAUCAGAAAUGGCAUGGUGUCAUGAUAUAAGUAGGCAGAGCAGCAGGAUCAGAGAAAUGAUACCUUGUGCACACAGAGCAAGGAAGAUGUGUGUUAACAGGAGAGAAAGACAUCGCCUCAGAAGAUGACUUCUCAUAUGCAAAGAAGGAUGUUCCACAUUCUUGCUCAGUAUGUCUCAAAAAGAAAACAUUACAACCAAUAAGAGUUGAAAAAUCAAUACUAUUCUGAAUAUUAGACUGUCCCAUAGGCCUUUCUCUCCUUUUUUUAUCACCCCUCCUGCCUUUUGACUGACUGAGAGACAUCUGAAAGGACAGCAGGACUUUUGCUGGUGAUAUGCAGUUGACCAAAGGUCUGAUGUGCACAUGCUCUUCUUGCCUUCUCACUUAUGCUGCUUAGAUUCAUUCAGCUCACUCGUGAAGCUUUAUGCAUUACACAUUUCCUGACUAAAACCAAAGAAGUCUGACAGAGCAAACUAAUUGAAACACAGUACUCUGCAUCUCACUUUGGCACCAUCGUUCCACGCCGUAGCCGCACGGUUCAAAGUUAAUAGAGUGCUGUGUCAGAGAUGCCACUCACCCAGGUGAAAUGCAACGCAAUGGUGGACAAGCCUGGUGAGUGGUUUUCCUCUUCAAAAGUAGCUUGGAGACACGACUUCACUCUCUUUAGCACCUCUGGAUGCACAAAGGCAUAGCUCUGAAGGUGAUGGGAUCAUAUCAAAUCUAUCCAAGUGCAGAGCUUUGGUUUAAUAUUUUUUUUUUUAUAUAUCAAUGGCUGGUCUCAGCUCUAAUUAACCUACUCCCCUAUCAGUCCAUUCCCUCCCCACAUGCCGUCUUUUCCCCUUCCUCUCUGUGAUCUCCAUUUCACUGCAGAGAUGGCCUGGCAAAGAGACAUUAUUCUAUUUAGAAGCUGAGCACCUCACUAGGGGUGACAGGCCUGUUUUUAGGUCAUUUAUCUAAUUGCUCUUUGCAGAUAAGAAUUAAUUAGCCCGAUUAUUUUUCUUAGUUUUUGGAUGGGUUCCCCACCUGGAGAGAAGAAAUUCCUCUAUGUCAGUGAUUAAUUGCUGAGCCAGAAGCUUUCUGCCUUGCAUUUGUAAUAAAUGCCGACUGGUUCUUUAGGUCGCA